CCAGAUUUAUUUAAUUUGUCCUUUUCCUUCAGCUUUUCACUCCAGGAAAGGGAAGGGAGGAAUGCGGGAGGGGCUGGAGGGGAAUCGGCCCCAUCCCGCAGCGCUGCCUCAUCUUCCUCCCGCUCCCUCCGCGGCCGCUGCUCCAUGAUGGGAAAUGGAAAUGGAAAUGUUUCCCAGGGAAUGUGGAGUUUUGCCCUGGAUUUGGUGUCCCUGGCACAGCCCGCCACAGGACGAGUGAUUUAUUCCCACUCUUCCCAUCACUGUUUUCCUCUCCCACAGCCGAAUUCCCGGUUAUCUCUCCGGCGCGCCGCCCAUCCCACAUUCCUCCUGGGCAUGGAAUGAGCUGCCUCCCGCUCCGCCCGCCCCGGGAAUGAGAGCUGGGACCCCACGGGACCCCAAGGGAAGGGCUUUGUCCCGGGAAGGUGCUGGUCCCAGGAAAAUGCGGGUCCCAGGAGGAUGGUGGUCCCCAGGGAACAUCUCAAUGCCAGGAAGGUUCUCAUUCCAAGGAAAAUGCAGGUCCCAGGAGGAUGGUGGUCCCCAGGAAGUUGUCAUUCCCAGGAAGGUUCUCAUUCCAAGGAAAAUGCUGGUCCCAGGAGGGUGGUGGUGUCAGGAGGAUGUUCGUUCCCAAGAGGAUCCUGGUCCCCUGGAAGGUUCUGUUUCCCAGAAGGAUCCUGGAUCCCCCAGAAGGUUCCAUUUCCCAGGAGGAUCCUGGAUCCCCCGGAAUGUUCCGUUUCCCAGGAGGAUCCUGAUCCCCAGGAUAAUGCUGGCCCCCAGGAGGAUGCUCAAUUCCAGGAAAGUUCCAUUUCCCAGAAGGAUCCUGGAUCCCCCAGAAGGUUCCAUUUCCCAGGAGGAUCCUGGAUCCCCUGGAAGUUUCUUAUUCCCAGAAGGAUCCUGGAUCCCCCAAAAGGUUCCAUUUCCCAGCAGGAUCCUGAUCCCCAGGAUAAUGCUGGCCCCCAGGAGGAUGCUCAUUUCCAGGAAGGUUCCCAUUCCCAGCAGGGUCCUGGAUCCCCUGGAAGGUUCCAUUUCCCAAGAGGAUCCUGGGUCCUCAGGAAGGUUUCUUAUUUCCAGAAGGAUCCUGGGUCCUCUGGAAGGUUCCAUUUCCCAGCAGGAUCCUGGAUCCCCUGGAAGGUUCCAUUUCCCAGCAGGAUCCUGGGUCCUCAGGAAGGUUUCAUUUCCCAGAAGGAUCCUGGAUCCCCCAGAAGGUUCCCAUUCCCAGGAGGAAGCCG
rnacentral:lncRNA from 1 species